rnacentral:lncRNA from 1 species
AAGAAAAAGACUUUAUUCUGAAUGAUAUUUCAUUAAGGCACUCAUGGGCAAUUCUGAGCUAAAAGCUGAGGUGUGUUAGCUUUAAUCCAUGUUAGCUUUAAUUAUUUAUAAUCCAUGGAUUACUAUGUUUACAUAACCAAUGUACUGUCAGGCUCUGGGGUGAAACCUCCUCUCUGGUGUAUGACUGUGGAGAAAUGUAGGGCCAGCACUAGUCAGGCACAAACAACAUUCCUGGAGAUGAGGGCAUUUCCAGAUGCAUAAUAAAAUAGACCCAGCCCUCUCCAGAAGUCCUUGAACUGAAUAUGGUCCAAGUAUUGUGAAUACUAGGAGAAGCAAAUGCAUGAAAAUAUUUUCUUGCUUAGAACAAGAAAAAUAAAGUAAUUUAUACAUACACACACAAGAAUAUAUGUAUAUAAAAUGUGCAUGUAGAAGACCAGUAGUCAAAGCCUUAAUAAGUGUCAUGUGAACAAUACUGUACCAUCGACUAUAGCUUUAUUGCAGGCUGUAGGAAGCCAUGUUUUGUUUUUUAGCUCUGUUUUGUUUCUCUUUUCAAAUGUUGUGGCCUUUUUACAGGCAAGACCUCUAAUCUCAAGCUGUUUGACCAUGCAGGUCUAGGGAAGUGAACUCUGCUAGAUGGGGUCUGCAUUUGUCCUUCUCUUCCUUGCCCCUGUUCAAGCAAAACAGUGACUCGGGUCUGGAAAUAAAAGCAUGACACUGAUUCCUGUGAAUGAGAGGGAAGUUUCAGGUGGUAAGCAGUGGUUCAAGUUUCCUGGCUCUCUAAUGGGAGAAAUGGCUCUGGAGAGAAGUGACUGUAGCAGCUUCCCAUGUACUUUAACAUCUUUGUUUCAUGUUCUGGUAAUUUCCCGUCUUUCCCAGACUGGUUCAUUGCAGAUGCUUGCAAUGUUGUUUGACAGAUGUGUUACACUUACUGCCAUUCAUGCAGGUGUCUCUUGUGACAAUGUGCUCGCAACUGUUGUACUGUGCAUUUCAACCAAUGAUCUAUGUAGAAUAUUUCUGCUGUACUGACUGGGCUUAACAGUCAAUAAUUCUAAAUGUCUGAAAGUUUCUUAAGAAAAAAAAGAAAAAAAAUGUCAGUCACUCUAAUCCGUGUA